rnacentral:misc_RNA from 1 species
GUUGGAUGGUGCUGAAAUGCUUGCAUGUGGCCUUGCUACUCACUUUGUCGCUUCAGAGAGAUUGACGGACUUAGAGGAAGCACUUUGCAGAGCAGAUACAAGUCAACCAAGCAUCAUUUCAGCAAUUAUUGAUAAAUUUUCCAGAAGACCAAUUCUUAAAGAUACAAGUGUUUAUCACCGGUUGGAUGUUAUUGACAAGUGCUUCUCUCGAAGAACAGUUGAAGACAUUUUGGCUGCUCUUGAAGAG